CAAAAAAAACAAAAAAAUAAUAAAACUAUACACCAAAAUUAUUUUACACUUAUUCCAAAAUCUGCCUUGAACGAAAUUGCGGUGAAAAUAAUUGGGAAAUUGGUAAGGAAGUUAUUGUCGGCUACAAAGGUAUUCAAGAUUCCCAGUGAGUUCAGAGCUCAGAGCUUGAGGGCAUCGUAGAAGACAUUCUAAGAGUAUCCAAGGUUGAGGGAUCACUCUCUCUCAAGGAGUAUUCAAGGGGAAAGAAGACAUCCCAGAUUCCAUCUCAAGAAUACCCAUAGUUCAGGUCCUUCCUCAAACAAUUCCUAAGAUUAAGAAGCCAAGAGUUCUGCAAACGAGAAAUUACUUUUGAAAGCCUUGGAUUCCGAGAUCCUCCAAUCCUCCAUCAAGGUUCCAAGACACAAGAAAUGGUGUCCAUGACAUCAAAUCAUGGAAAGGACUAUGGACGGAGAGUGAGACCACGCAAAGGAUACAAAGAGGAUACUAGAAGUCAAGCCUAAAACCUGGGAGGCGCAAAAGUACGAGAAUAUUGAAAUGUAGUCGAGAAGACUUCCUGUAACCAAAUUUUGCCUGCUUUACGCCGUAAAUAUUAUGUUUGUCAGCCUAUU
rnacentral:sRNA from 1 species